CUGCGACUCUCCACCGCGACGUAACACGACUGGACUUCUAGACGAUUCGUAAUGACUGGAGUUGCGAUCCUCUAGCGCAUUCCAUUAAAUACAUUAUCUGACUGCCGGUAGGCAGGUAUGAUGAUGAGUUCGUUCUAAGACGCAAUUACUUCUCCCGGGUUGAGUAGAACUUUGUCUACCAACACUCGGCAACGCAUGGAGAAACUACGCGAUCGGUUAGUGACUGACGCAUGAAACGUGAGUAGAAUCUUGAUCGAGAAACGGAACAAGAAAAAAAACACCGAUUCUUGCUACAGAACCCUACCACGGUUGCGUACCUUUUCUUUUAGGGAGUUCCCAUUUUGAAAAAAAAGUGUGUAAUAAGCAGAGGAAAGGAGAUUCGUCGAAUAAUAAUGCGAAACGAUCAGGUACAGGAGAAAAAUUUUAUGUUUGCCUGCAGUGUUGCAACAAUUACAUCCCUUGCCCGGCUCCCACGGGCUAAGGAUUAGUGGGAAGGCUUAUAUAUAUAUAAAGAAUAUCUGAUAAUGAUUACUUGUUGGUAAGAGAAACAUAAAUCAAUUUGAAUCCGCCCUAUUCUUAAGAUUUACUGAUGCAAUAAAACUUUCCCAAACAUAAAA